rnacentral:rRNA from 1 species
ACGGGGUGCAGCAGGCGCGAAAACUUUGCAAUGUGCGAAAGCACGACAAGGUUAAUCCGAGUGGUUUCUGCUAAAGGAACCUUUUGUUAGUCCUAGAAACACUAACGAAUAAGGGGUGGGCAAGUUCUGGUGUCAGCCGCCGCGGUAAAACCAGCACCUCAAGUGGUCAGGAUGAUUAUUGGGCCUAAAGCAUCCGUAGCCGGCUCUGUAAGUUUUCGGUUAAAUCUGUACGCUCAACGUACAGGCUGCCGGGAAUACUGCAGAGCUAGGGAGUGGGAGAGGUAGACGGUACUCGGGAGGAAGGGGUAAAAUCCUUUGAUCUUUCGAUGACCACCUGUGGCGAAGGCGGUCUACCAGAACACGUCCGACGGUGAGGGAUGAAAGCUGGGGGAGCAAACCGGAUUAGAUACCCGGGUAGUCCCAGCUGUAAACUAUGCAAACUCAGUGAUGCAUUGACUUGUGGUCAAUGCAGUGCUGCAGGGAAGCCGUUAAGUUUGCCGCCUGGGAAGUACGUACGCAAGUAUGAAACUUAAAGGAAUUGGCGGGGGAGCACCACAAGGGGUGAAGCCUGCGGUUCAAUUGGAGUCAACGCCAGAAAUCUUACCCGGAGAGACAGCAGAAUGAAGGUCAAGCUGAAGACUUUACCAGACAAGCUGAGAGGUGGUGCAUGGCCGUCGCCAGCUCGUGCCGUGAGAUGUCCUGUUAAGUCAGGUAACGAGCGAGAUCCCUGCCUCUAGUUGCCACCAUUACUCUCAG